CAGCCGAAACAAGGAUGCCCUCGAGCUGGAGAGCCUGCUGAGGACCUGACGUCCCAUCACUGUCAUCAUUCCCUGAGCCUCCGCCUGAUCCUCACUGCUCUCACACUCCACAGCCUCAUCUGGACCUUGGCCACCCCCAGCUCCAUGGGUGAACAAAACAGAAAGACAGACAGCCAGAAAGGAUCCACACACCCAAGGCCAACCAACAGAGGAGAACCUGCAACAGACCAAAAGGGAGUGAAAGUCUCCAGGUCCUGAAGUCCCACUGAGCCCUGACUCCUGCUCCUGUGGCGCCACAGAUGUCCCCAAGAGAGAGACCUCACUUGUGGAAUCCAGGGUCUCAGUGUGCACACCAGGGGGUUGCUGAAAACUGGGUCCUUGUACCCAAUGCCUAUCCCUAACAAAGGCACCGUUUUGAGAAAAAUGGAAAACAAGUUUUGUGGCUUUGCUCCUUAAGUGACAGUCGCCAUCUUAAGAAAGAGUUUCGCUUUCCUGCCCAAGGGCCUUUCUGAGAAAGGUUCCCCCCUCACACCGACCCACCCCCCACCUCCUGCAUUACAACCCGCCUGGCUCUCACCCCUGAGCCUGCCCCAUGACAUUCGUGGAAGCAAGCCUCUAUUGCCUCUCUCCACCUAUGGAGAGGUGGCCUUUGUUUGUCAGCUGUGACAAGUAAACUCUCCUGUGUAUCGCU